CGCAAGCCUGACGGAGCAAUACCGCGUGAGGGAGGAAGGUCUGUGGAUUGUAAACCUCUUUUGAUAGGGAAGAACACAAUGACGGUACCUAUCGAAUCAGCAUCGGCUAACUCCGUGCCAGCAGCCGCGGUAAUACGGAGGAUGCAAGCGUUAUCCGGAAUUAUUGGGCGUAAAGCGUCCGUAGGUGGUUAAUCAAGUCUAUUGUCAAAGCCUAGGGCUUAACCCUGGAGAGGCAGUGGAAACUGGUUGACUUGAGUGCGGUAGGGGCAGAGGGAAUUCCCAGUGUAGCGGUGAAAUGCGUAGAUAUUGGGAAGAACACCGGUGGCGAAAGCGCUCUGCUGGGCCUGCACUGACACUGAGGGACGAAAGC
rnacentral:rRNA from 1 species